rnacentral:snRNA from 1 species
CGGGAGCUUUCCCCGGGCG